rnacentral:rRNA from 1 species
UUUAUGGAGAGUUUGAUCCUGGCUCAGGAUGAACGCUGGCGGCGUGCCUAAUACAUGCAAGUCGAGCGAACGGACGAGAAGCUUGCUUCUCUGAUGUUAGCGGCGGACGGGUGAGUAACACGUGGAUAACCUACCUAUAAGACUGGGAUAACUUCGGGAAACCGGAGCUAAUACCGGAUAAUAUUUUGAACCGCAUGGUUCAAAAGUGAAAGACGGUCUUGCUGUCACUUAUAGAUGGAUCCGCGCUGCAUUAGCUAGUUGGUAAGGUAACGGCUUACCAAGGCAACGAUGCAUAGCCGACCUGAGAGGGUGAUCGGCCACACUGGAACUGAGACACGGUCCAGACUCCUACGGGAGGCAGCAGUAGGGAAUCUUCCGCAAUGGGCGAAAGCCUGACGGAGCAACGCCGCGUGAGUGAUGAAGGUCUUCGGAUCGUAAAACUCUGUUAU